GUUACCCCUAGAGGUGUUGCAGGUAUGACUGCUGUGUCACAUGUACAUUGGCAGGUGGCAGAGAGGAGACAGAUUAUGUCUGUGUUCAGUGUUCUGACCUAUGAACAUCUGAACAAUUAGUAGCCUAACACU